rnacentral:rRNA from 1 species
ACCUACGGGGGGGCAGCAGUAGGGAAUAUUGCUCAAUGGGGGAAACCCUGAAGCAGCAACGCCGCGUGGAGGAUGAAGGUUUUCGGAUUGUAAACUCCUUUUGUUAGAGAAGAUAAUGACGGUAUCUAACGAAUAAGCACCGGCUAACUCCGUGCCAGCAGCCGCGGUAAUACGGAGGGUGCAAGCGUUACUCGGAAUCACUGGGCGUAAAGAGCGCGUAGGCAGGAUAGCAAGUCAGAUGUGAAAUCCUAUGGCUUAACCAUAGAACUGCAUUUGAAACUGUUCUUCUAGAGUAUGGGAGAGGU